rnacentral:rRNA from 1 species
AAAUGAAUAGACGGGGGCCCGCACAAGCAGCGGAGCAUGUGGCUUAAUUCGAAGCAACGCGAAGAACCUUACCAGGGCUUGACAUAUAGGUGAAGCGGCGGAAACGUCGUGGCCGAAAGGAGCCUAUACAGGUGGUGCAUGGCUGUCGUCAGCUCGUGUCGUGAGAUGUUGGGUUAAGUCCCGCAACGAGCGCAACCCUUGUUGCAUGUUGCCAGCGGUUCGGCCGGGCACUCAUGCGAGACCGCCGGCGUCAAGCCGGAGGAAGGUGGGGACGACGUCAAGUCAUCAUGCCCCUUAUGUCCUGGGCUGCACACGUGCUACAAUGGCCGGCACAGCGGGCUGCGAACCUGCGAAGGCAAGCGAAUCCCUUAAAGCCGGCCCCAGUUCGGAUUGGAGGCUGCAACCCGCCUCCAUGAAGUCGGAGUUGCUAGUAAUCGCGGAUCAGCACGCCGCGGUGAAUACGUUCCCGGGCCUUGUACACACCGCCCGU